GACGAACGCUGGCGGCGUGCCUAAUACAUGCAAGUUGAGCGAUGAAGAUUGGUGCUUGCACCAAUUUGAAGAGCAGCGAACGGGUGAGUAACGCGUGGGGAAUCUGCCUUUGAGCGGGGGACAACAUUUGGAAACGAAUGCUAAUACCGCAUAACAACUUUAAACAUAAGUUUUAAGUUUGAAAGAUGCAAUUGCAUCACUCAAAGAUGAUCCCGCGUUGUAUUAGCUAGUUGGUGAGGUAAAGGCUCACCAAGGCGAUGAUACAUAGCCGACCUGAGAGGGUGAUCGGCCACAUUGGGACUGAGACACGGCCCAAACUCCUACGGGAGGCAGCAGUAGGGAAUCUUCGGCAAUGGACGAAGGUCUGACCGAGCAACGCCGCGUGAGUGAAGAAGGUUUUCGGAUCGUAAAACUCUGUUGGUAGAGAAGAACGUUGGUGAGAGUGGAAAGCUCAUCAAGUGACGGUAACUACGCAGAAAGGGACGGCUAACUACGUG
rnacentral:rRNA from 1 species